CUACUGCUGCUACAGAUACAAGUGAAGUUUUACCGGAGCAACAACUGACUCGGGAGACCACGCCAUUUUUAAUAAUUUUCUUCAAAAUGACACCAACCCAGAACAGAAACAGGGAAAUUACAAGGAAUUAGAAAGCGAAGACAGAGUAGAUUACUACUAGGCACAAAGUGUUUGCAGUUUACACAAAAUGCUUAUAUGCAUAAGUAAACAUGUACAGAGAUUUAUUGAGAGUUGAG
rnacentral:lncRNA from 1 species